GUAGAUGUUGGGCUUGAUGUCUUGAGCCUCGUUGGCGCUCAGAUCCUCUGCCUUCACGUCAUGAGAGGAUGUGCUGCUGCCGUAGCCGUUCAUCAUCGGAGGCCGGCUGGGGAAAACGGUUCAUGGUGGCAGCGUUGCGUCUGAAGUAACAGAACGUGGUCUGGAACCAGUUGUAGAUCUCGUUCAGUGUCAACUGCUUGUCUGGAGACUCGAUUAUGGCCUGUAAUUUCAACAUGGUGCGUGGUGUCCCUGGCAGCGUGCAGGUGACGCAUCAUAGCGGCGAGGCGAUCCCUCUCGCGGCGUAGCUGCAGCUCCAGCUGGGCCACCACCUGCAUCUGCACUCGCGCCUGCGCGGCUGAUCUGUCGUCGAGGGUGUGAGCUGCCUCUAAGUGCCUGGUUGGGUACAAUUCUUUGAUUGAAUGUCUGAAUAUCAUUCAGGCUGUUAGUCAAACGGCGUCGUUUAGUGAAAAGCCUAGGACUUAAGUAGCGGAUUAAACUAUUUAGUUCAACGUAGUGACUGUUGUGUGACGGUAAUUAAAGAAUAUAAAAACUGUGUUUUACUAUUUAAUAAAAGAUAACUGGGGGGUUAAAAAGGCCACGUCAAAGCAAUACAUCUACAAAAGCAAUAUUGCUAUUUGACAUUUUGUUUACGUUGCGCGCUUACUUUUGUUUGCGCAAUGUCAAAUUGCAAUAUUGCUUUUUUAGAUGAAUGCUUCGAUGUGGCAUCUUUAUCGCCCCAAGUUGUUUACCACCACUGUUUAACAACCAGUUGUCCCAAGCUGUCGUUGUAGCUUCCAACCCAGCACAGGAAUUAGGUGAAAAAAAAUCCUUAUAAAAACGUGGCUCUAUUAACAAAAUAGAAUAAGAAGUCUAUCCGUUUGCCGUUUUACGUGUAAGUAGGAGCGUGACAGACAUACGCGCCCGCUCCCUUACUCCUUAGAAACUAAGGCCGUUUAAGAAUAAUGUAAGACCUAGUAAAUGUAGCUAUCAAUUGGUGCGGGGCUGAGAGUUACUGUUAUCCCUAACAUUCCCAUGCAAUCCCGAUCUCGCGGGAUCCCGUUUUCGCAAGAUCUCAUGAUUUUUUUCAGGAUCAAUCCCGAAGCAUAAUAUGACGAGAUCCCAUUCGAGAUUGCCGGGUUGUGCGAAUCUUCUUGAGUUAUUCUUUUGCUGCUUUCG